AAUGGUAGAGGCGCGGUUUUUAUCAGUAGAAACGCUCAUACGAAAGGCAAACGGAGCUUUUUGAAAGGAAACGCCGCCGAAACAUAUAUCACAUUGCCUUUGAGAUAUAUGUUGGGUUGUAGGAGAACAUCUUGCAGACUGUCACUUUUGUGAAGCGCUAUCCG
rnacentral:ncRNA from 1 species